GCAUAUACUAAGGAUCUGUCAAACCAUUUGCGUUUACUCAAAUCUCUGAACAUACCCUAGCUUGGUUGUAUGGAAAAUUUAUGACGUACCAGAGGCGAUCGUUUUGCUGCAUUCUGUAGGUCUAUAGAAAUGGUAUUUUUUCCAUUGACACUACUAGCACAUUAAAAUUAUAAGUAUGUCAAAGACAAUCAAGGAUUAAAAUGACAAAGAACUAAGUCAAAAUGCUGCCGUCCCGAUCAAAAGGAAGAAAGCAAAAGCAGACCGAUGGGCUACCACUACCUUUUGUAAAGAAUACUGGUUGAAAAUGAGGGAGACAAUAUACCAGUUGGAUCAGCAACAGUUGUCCAUGUGCUGCAGUAUUUAUUGGAUCCAACCAAAUCAGAAGAGAAAACCCUGAAGCAAAUUCAUAUGGUAAAACAGGGUUUUCUAAGAGAGGAGGAUCACAGGAGUGGAACUGUUUCAUUUACCCAACACCUUGAGCUGACUGAUCAAGGGAAAUAUGAAGCAGUUUACAGAUGAAAGUCCUGCUGGAAGCACAGAGAUUAAUACUGAACAAUACAUGUAUUACCUCUGUCCGGACUCAUCAUAAC